UCUGCUGUCUUUACUUAAUGGGAUUGGAGCAAAAAAAGGAGAACCACGAGGAACAAAGAUAGUGGGCAAGAAAGAGUUUUGAAGAACAUAUUUGAUGAACUUAGUCAGCGACCAGCUUGUGUGCAACAUGAAAAAAAAAUGCUUUGAAUUCAUAUCACCAUUACAUGAUGACUUAUGCAAAAUUAUACUACAUUUCAAAAACAAAAACCAAUCUUGAAAUCAUGUUCAAUGCUUACAUGAAAGCCAAGGACAUCAGAAAUAGAACCUGUACAUAUUGAUUUAAAGAAUAGUCACAACCACCAUAAUUCAUCACCAUCACCACACCACUAGCAGUGUACUAAAGAUGUGAAAGCUUCACUCUGGAAUUCCUGCUAUUCAAAGCUGUUCUUGAAACAUGCUUUACAAGCCCAGCACUGCAGGAGUCAGGGAAAAAAAAGAAAAGAAGAAAAAAAGAUGAUCUCACCUUUUUCACUUUUAUCACUACUGAACAUGCAAACUGUUUAAAGCUAUAUUCUUCUUUGAUCGGCAACAUUUCCUAAAUGCUUUGUGUUUACCAUUUACCAGGGAGGAAAAGAUGAAAUGCUCUGAGCAACUGAGUAAACAUUUGAGUUUGAGAAAAUA